rnacentral:rRNA from 1 species
GACAGAGGAUGCAAGCGUUAUCCGGAAUGAUUGGGCGUAAAGCGUCUGUAGGUGGCUUUUAAGUCCGCCGUCAAUCCCAGGGCUCAACCCUGGACAGGCGGUGGAAACUACCAAGCUGGAGUACGGUAGGGCAGAGGAAUUUCCGGUGGAGCGGUGAAAUGCGUAGAGAUCGGAAGAACACCACGGCGAAGCACUCUGCUGGACCGACACUGACACUGAGAGACGAAGCUAGGGAGCGAAUGG